rnacentral:rRNA from 1 species
UGAGCAAUCUGCCCUUCUCAUCGGAAUAAGCGUUGGAAACGACGUCUAAUGCCGAAUACGACCUCCUUUCGCAUGAUCGGGGGUGGAAAGCUCCGGCGGAGAAGGAUGAGCUCGCGGCCUAUCAGCUAGUUGGUGUGGGUAAUGGCCCACCAAGGCGACGACGGGUAGCCGGCCUGAGAGGGUGACCCGGCCACACUGGGACUGAGACACGGCCCAAACUCCGUACGGGAGNAGCG